rnacentral:rRNA from 1 species
GAUGAACGCUGACAGAAUGCUUAACACAUGCAAGUCAACUUGAACUUCGGUUUGGGUGGCGGACGGGUGAGUAACGCGUAAAGAACUUGCCUCACAGCUAGGGACAACAUUUGGAAACGAAUGCUAAUACCUGAUAUUAUGAUUAUAUGGCAUCGUAUAAUUAUGAAAGCUAUAUGCGCUGUGAGAGAGCUUUGCGUCCCAUUAGCUAGUUGGGGAGGUAACAGCUCACCAAGGCGAUGAUGGGUAGCCGGCCUGAGAGGGUGAUCGGCCACAAGGGGACUGAGACACGGCCCUUACUCCUACGGGAGGCAGCAGUGGGGAAUAUGGGACAAUGGACCGAGAGUCUGAUCCAGCAAUUCUGUGUGCACGAUGAAGUUUUUCGGAAUGUAAAGUGCUUUCAGUUGGGAAGAAAAAAAUGACGGUACCAACAGAAGAAGUGACGGCUAAAUACGUG